UUUAUCAGAUAACUCUCAGAUUUUAUUUCUCACUCUACGGGUGUCAGAAAAAUAUGAAACCUUAAAUCUAGCCUUAUAAAAAUAUUUCUGACUUAUCCUCCAAUUUUCAUAAUUUUCUGAGACUGUGCAUUUUCUGCUAAUUUAUCUGUCCCGUUUCCAACAGAAAAUUCUAAAUCUUCUGUUUUCAUUCCGAUUUCGGCACAAGUCACUUCUGAUUUAUGUUUUACUUCUAUAAAUCCAAUAAAAAUAGUUUCUCACACUAUUUUUAUUUAUUUUUAUUUUUAUACCAAAAUCUAGUAUGUUACAUUCUCCACCCCUUAAAAGAAUUUCGUCCGCGAAAUUCAAACCACGCCUCAAUUCAGCUCCGCGAGCAAUUGAGGGUACCGACUCAUUCUCCCACUCUAGAACGGCUUCACACUAUCGUGGUUCCAGAAGCGGCUCAUACUGAAGGACGUGGGUUUAAUCCUAAACACAUUUGCAAAAUGUGAUACAAAAGUGCAUCACGAGUCUUGCAAGUCAUAAAGGCAGCGCAAGUCGAUACUCGACGACUCUACGCACUCCAACACCACUCACCAUUCGGUAUACAAAGAACUCUUCUUUGCACUGGCCUUCCCUUUUGGGAAUACAUUCCAAUUCGAUCACCGACAUUGCUUAGAAGCAAUAUCACCGGUGCAUCACUCCGUCGUGAGUGCUCUAAUUUCGCGCUGACCCUUAAAUUUAACUCAAGAUGGCCCACUUCGGCACAUCUCAAGUCUCAGUUUGCUUACAAGCAUAGCCUCCAACAUCACGUGGCCUUCCACUAGAUCAAUGUCUCACAAGGAGUACUUCAUCAUCUGAUACUACAUGCCACGAUUAACAUCGAACUAUUUUAGCAACGAGCUCACACGAACGCUUCGUUCGUGAAUUCGAGUCAGACUCCUCGAUAAGGCUAUCUGCCAAAUCGCUUUCUUCGGUCUCCACAGGUGGACCAUAGGCCAUCAAUCCUACAUAGGCCUACCGCCUAAACCUGUCUCACUACGCAGCGUCUCUCGCUCGCAAAUGCAGACCCAAUCAUGAUCGGGCGAAAUUCUCACUUGGGAAUUCGCACACACUCCAACCAGGAGCAACUAAGAUCCCAAACCGUUACAGAUCCCCGCGUUGGGUCACACUCGUACUCUCGGUAUUUCUAUCAAUCGCACCACAUACCCUACCGAGUCACACGUACCACUACCGGCUACUAUACACCUAAUGCGAGUCACCAGUCCCAUGAGUGAUCCAUGGCACGCUUCGCACCUAGCAAUGCUUAAGUGCUACUGCCAACUCACUCGCUUGACUGAACCAUAUCCGCACUCCACGAGUAUCUAUACUCGAACGUCAUACGCCUCUAUGGUGUUCCACACUAAGUCCAGUGUUAGGCAAUUCUUGCCUAUGCACGCCAACUACACAAGCACGACCCUCCUACCUCACAUUGAGGUGCUACUAGGCCUAUGUGCUUGCACUUGUUUACUAACCAACUACUCCCUCAACAGUGAUUCUACUUUCACUGUUCGACCUAUCGAAAUGACAUCCGAAAUUCCCGGAUUACUCGGGUGUCCUUAAAUAUCACGACUCAACUCUCGCAAUCUACUAAUUAAGUUGCUCUGAGAGUCGAUUAACCACCUCUGUCUCUACCGCGAGUUUCACUUCUCGCCGAAGGUCACUACUAGCACUUCGCUAGUGCCAUCUUGCUCUAUACCUAUACUGGCAGGUACUACGCCCUCACAACACGAGCAUGCUCGGGUAUCUAUACUCACCCGUCCAUUCGGUCUUCACUAUGCUCAUGCACGGCAAUAGUAAUUAACCGCAUAACCAUUGCAUGCAAUGCAUCAACUUUACAUUCUACAGAAGCCUAUGCUUGCUUCAAUUAACUCAUACCUACCAUAGUAUCGUCGAUAACAGCAGGUUUCACAACCCGGUUCGCAUAUCCACGGCCUCUUGGGGCCCGCGGCGAACCCUCCGGUUGUCACCUCCUCACCACUCGUUCUCCAGACCAUUCUGUGGAUGUCACACCCACAAGCUGUCUCGGAGAGGAAGAGGCUAUCACCCACGUCACGACCCGGCAAUCGCCCACACGAAUGCCCAUCUCAUCACGCAGCACACACUGCUACGCCUGGUGAGAACUUCUACAUCCCGCAUCCCAAGGAGGUUAAUAGAAGACACCUCCGAGGUUCAGGAUUGCAAUUGCACUCAAGAAUGUGCACUGCCCAUACUGGGCAAUUUCGAGCUACGGGGACCGGUCUCUCCCUGCCAGGGACCGGUCCCCGAGGGCAAUCUCCGCCAAGUGCAGACUUUGCACUAAUUGCUCUCGUGGACUCCAACUCUAACGCACUUUUGGUGAUUUAAAUAUCUUCGGCUUUUCCGAAGCACACCAACACGACCCUUGGUCGAUUCUAAGCGAAGUCUAACUCUCGUAUUUCGAGAAUUCACUUCCUUAUAUGCACAACCUCGACCACGUCCGGCCAAGGUCUUCGCAGAGGCACAUCGGCCAAUUCCUCGUCAUCCCGCACUACGUUCGGGACACAACUCACGAUACGAGAGAAUUCCUACUUGUAUUCCCUCACGGCACGGUUUACCUGCCGUAGCUUCGGGAACCUUUCCUGAAGCUUUUCUUUCUCAGCAUUGGGAAAGUAAACAGGGAAUAUUAAUCCCCGAAACUCAUCCCGAAUCACAGGAGGAAAACUAGGCAAUCGAUUCCGUCGAAUGCCUUUCCACCACACCUUCGCCGAUUGUUUGCAAGCAACGCACAGCUAGGUGUAUCCUCUCACUCUACAGUGCACAGGUCCCCAAAGGGAGUCUCUAUGAAGUCGAUCCACAACUCCACGACUAACGGAUCCGUAUUCUCUCCAUCAAAGGCAGACGGAUUUAAUAGCUUAAAGGUCAUGAGGGCCACCGAAGCUCGGUCUUUCACCGCUUUCGCUUCUGAAGUACUAGAAGUCGGACUGCUCGAACCCGACAGAAAUACUUCCGUCGCAACUCCCGGUCGUACUCGACGAACGGCAGCUGGUAUAGCCACCAGUUGAUCUAUCGCUUCCUGGAGUCUUCUCAUUUGCUCCUUCUGGGAUACGGCAGCUUCCUGCUGACGCCGCACUAAUUCGGCUCGUCACCCCGCCACUCACACGAGAGUGGACAAUCGCUCACGAAGUCCCAAGUCUCCGUUCACUUCGGAUUGCUCAGGGACGACACUCGUCCCAUCCCGUGCCAAUCUACAUGAAGAUCGCCUACGCAGUUCCAUCGCUUCCCAAGACGCGACAGCUCGAUCGAUUCUCGAUCCUCAAAGUCGAGCGCGAAACAACUGACAUCGACUCAAAUCGGGCGAAAGUCACGCAAGGGUAUCUAUUCUCAACACUCGGUUUCAUGUUGUGUCGACCCAACAUGAACACCCUCGGUUGAGAACAAACCACACCUCGAGUCUACCUCUAAUAUCCGUUAUAGAGGCUUCAACACUGACCCAAUCGAUUAAUCUUUCGCCAUAAGCCAUAAGUCCUCGUCUCUCACGAGCCUUAUUCUCCUAUGGUUUACUAUCCUAGGGUCUUCUAGGUCUGCCUAAACCAUUCAUAUUCUCUACUUUAUUCUCUGAUACCAUCUUAUCUGUCAAGCCCCGCGACCACCCGCCUAUUUGGCCGGGUCGCGGCGCCGCAACAGACCGCCGAACGGACAGGGUUUCCCCUGUACCGCGGACAGAGUCUCCCCUAUACAUUCAAGGCGUCGCAAUCAAUACAAUGUACAAAGUUCCAACCAGGAACACAUUUCAAUCAAAGAUUGCAUAAUGGAAGGUAUCAAACAACAUAACACAUCCUAUAUUAUUACAUGCAUUCACAUUCAUACAUUUUACAUCCCAAAUACUUAUUACAUUUAACUUCCAAAUACAAUCCGAUUUAACAUGGUUAUUACAAUCUUAUUCCUUUCAUUUUCUUACUUCCCUAAGUAAAGCCGACUCAGGGUACCGCUAUCUCUGGUCUCGGUGGUAGGGCGCUAACUAUGAUGCUACGCCCUCGCCUCGCGCCGCCGCGCCGCUCACGUGUGAACCUGUAACACCCCAAAACCACGUGGGGUGAGAACCAACUCCAUGGUUCCCAGUGGGUACGGCCACCCAAGGGAAAAGCUCGACCAAUAGGUCCAAGGGAGGCAACUGCAAGUUAGUUCAAUAAACAGAUAGAUAUAUAUCUUGAUUAUGCAACGAAUAAAACCAUGCAUUGCCUCACGAAUGCAAUAAUGUAAUGCUAUAUGCAAAUCAUGCAAUAAUGCAACUAUGCAACCAACUAGUAGUUCAUUCGAUACUACUUUCAAUUCUGCUAACCAUAGCUCAUCCAUUUGAUAUUUAAGGUUUCCUCUAUCUUAGAUUCUUGUCAAUCACCGUUUUAAUCAUAAGGUUUCAUCUUCCUUUACAAGGCUAACCACCCGACUCGGUCUUGAGUCAAUCGUCUGCGGAGUACCGCACUAGAACCAGGCUCGAGGCGAUGGACGUCUCACAUACACCUCAGCCCUAGAUCCUCUCGACUAGGAUACCAAAUCCAUAACUCAUAAUGCAUACUUGUUGUACACUCAUUUGGCUAUGACCCAAUCUUACCGGUUAACCAUGUUAACCCCAAUAACUCACAACCAAAUCCCUUAAUAACGGGGGACUCGAACCUCCCUAGGGACCGUCAACUGGUGGGACUUUACCACGCCCAGUGGUGACCAACUCCGGAGCGCACCGCCCGAGGGGGAGCUACCUCCCUCAAGCCAAGACUUAUCGUGAGUAUCGAUCCAAUCCUCAACUUGAGGAUUCAUAGCCACUCGUCACAAUGCCAAUGUCAUGAUAGGUCUCUACCUAUUUAAUCAUGCCACUCUCUAUGUCAACUUGGACCAAUGUCAAUAUGGUUAAACUAUGUUUAACAAUCACUUUCUUGAUGCCAAUCAUGUCUCUAUUGUCAUUGUCACCCUUGUUUACUAAUGUUCAAGUCCAACUCUCACAUUUACACAAUAAUAGGGUCCUAACAUACAUGAAUGACACCAGAAUAUAUAUGAUCAAUCACCACAAGUGUUUGCUAGGUUCAAGAUGCUAGGUUUAAUGCCACUCGAUCUAAUAUAUAUAUAGAUUGUCCACUAUGUUCCACAACAUGGCAAUAUGUCAUCAAGUAUGUUUUUCUAUUUAACAUAAUCCACAAUAUGUAAAUUCAUAAUAUAUCAUCAUGCACAUAUACCACUAGCAUCACAUGAUUUGUCAACAUACAUAUAGUCAUUAUCCAAAAUAGUCCAUACUUAGCAUCUCAUGCAUUCUUUUAGCACUUAAUUCAUUAUGCAUUACAUUUAGCAUAUUCUACAACAUGUCAUCAUACAUUCCUUUUAUGAUGUUCUUAUAAUGCUAACAUUCAUACGCCCUUUAUAUUAUGCAUUCAAAGCAUUAAUCAUAUGCAUUUAUCUAGCAUUUCUAUAGUAUGUUAACAUGCAUUCUUUUCACAUUCUUAUAUUAUGUCAAUAUGCAUCAAUAUGAAAUCUCAUUUCUUAGACAUAAAGGGCGACCUAGUCGCUUCGGUAAGCACAACCCACCUCAUUUCGCAUUCCGAUUGCUUGUCGACACUUGCAAUCGGCCUCCCGCGGCACCCGGCACCCGGUUUGGCCCGAUCUCUCACGCGACCACCCGAACGGCCUCCAAUUCACGAUCCGAAAAUUAAAGGUCUUCGGUUAUGUGCCACGAUGCUUCAAAUCCAUUUUCAUGAAUUUACGAUAUCGCCUCGGCCCUCCCGGCGGACCCGAAGCCUAAACGUCCAUUUCUUUAAUAACUUUGUAACGGCUCGUCGGAUUGCCGAACCGUCUUCGCCAACGCGUUCGUUUACCUAGCAAUUUGGUUUACGGAGGGUCAAAUGAGAUCAAACCCUCAUAUUUUGAAAGUUUGCAUUUUGAGCCCUAGGUUUACAACUAUGCAAGAAAUCAUUAAAUUGCUCUAUGAUUCAAGCAUUAAUCAUCUAUUAGGCAUCAAUGGGUUCCACUAAAACCAUUUCCAAAGCAUUUAGACCUAUCUUUAGAGAUCUACCAUUAAAGCCCUCAUUUUGGAGCUCUAGGUUUCAAUAGGUAAAAAUCCACCAUUAGAGCCUUGAUUUCAAGCAUCAAACCUCUAAUUAGCAUGCUAGAAUACCUCUAAAUCCAUUCUUAGAGCUUAAAAACCAAACUAGAGAGAAAUGCCAUUAAAGGGUUUGAAGCUUACCUUCAAAGCUUGCUCUAAUGGAGAGGAAGAAGAUAGAGAAGAUGAAAAUCCAUCCUUGAGCUUCAAUCUCCACCAAAACCCUCUCUUUUUGGGAGAGAUUUAGAGAGAGAAAGGGAGAUCUCUCUCUCCCUCCAUGUAUGCGUGUGUGUGUGUGUCGUGUGCGUGUGUGGUGUGCGGCCGAAGGAGAAGAAGAAGCAACAGCUUCUUAAUAAUACCCCCAAGACACUAUUCACUCUCGGGCAGCUUGAAAUCUGAUAACUUUCGCCGGAGCUCCCUGAAUGUCCGUUUGAGCUCAAACUUGACAGUCAUGUUCGGUUUUACUUAACUUAACAAGCUGACGAUCGCUGGUUCAGUUUCGACCCCGUUUGGUCACUGAAAACUGUACCGAACUGUAAUCUUUAUCAGAUAGCUGUCGGAUUUUAUUUCUCACUCUACGGGUGUCAGAAAAAUAUGAAACCUUAAAUCUAGCCUCAUAAAAAUAUUUCUGACAUCUCUGCCAAUUUUCAUAAUUUUCUGAGACUGUGCAUUUUCUGCUAAUUUAUCUGUCCCGUUUCCAACAGAAAAUUCUAAAUCUUCUGUUUUCAUUCCGAUUUCGGCACAAGUCACUUCUGAUUUAUGUUUUACUUCUAUAAAUCCAAUAAAAAUAG
rnacentral:lncRNA from 1 species